rnacentral:rRNA from 1 species
CCUAGGGAGGCUGCAGUGGGGAAUAUUGGACAAUGGGGGGAACCCUGAUCCAGCCAUGCCGCGUGUGUGAAGAAGGCCCUCGGGUUGUAAAGCACUUUCAGUGAGGAAGAACGCCUGGUGGUUAAUACCCAUCAGGAAAGACAUCACUCACAGAAGAAGCACCGGCUAACUCCGUGCCAGCAGCCGCGGUAAUACGGAGGGUGCGAGCGUUAAUCGGAAUUACUGGGCGUAAAGCGCGCGUAGGUGGCUUGAUAAGCCGGUUGUGAAAGCCCCGGGCUCAACCUGGGAACGGCAUCCGGAACUGUCAAGCUAGAGUGCAGGAGAGGAAGGUAGAAUUCCCGGUGUAGCGGUGAAAUGCGUAGAGAUCGGGAGGAAUACCAGUGGCGAAGGCGGCCUUCUGGACUGACACUGACACUGAGGUGCGAAAGCGUGGGUAGCAAACAGGAUUAGAUACCCUAGUAGUC